GCAUAGCCCCGAUAGUAGUGAAAAUCCUUUUUGUUUUUGCUCUCAAAAAUAAAAAGAUUGAAACGGAUAGCGGGAGUAAUG
rnacentral:sRNA from 1 species